rnacentral:rRNA from 1 species
AAAGGAAUUGACGGGGGCCCGCACAAGCGGAGGAACAUGUGGUUUAAUUCGAUGAUACGCGAGGAACCUUACCCAGGCUCGAACGGCAGAGGAAUUGUGAAGAGAUUCACAAGUCUUCGGACUUCUGUCGAGGUGCUGCAUGGUUGUCGUCAGCUCGUGCCGUGAGGUGUCGGCUUAAGUGCCAUAACGAGCGCAACCCUUGUCGCUAGUUGCCAUCAGGUUAAGCUGGGGACUUUAGCGAGACUGCCUUCGUAAGAUGUGAGGAAGGGGGGGAUGACGUCAAAUCAGCACGGCCCUUACGUCUGGGGCGACACACGUGUUACAAUGGUUGGUACAGAGGGUUGCAUGCUGGUGACAGUUUGCCAAUCUCUAAAUCCAAUCUCAGUUCGGAUUGGAGUCUGCAACUCGACUCCAUGAAGUUGGAUUCGCUAGUAAUCGCACAUCAGCCAUGGUGCGGUGAAUACGUUCCCGGGCCUUGUACACACCGCCCGU